CUUCGGGGUGAGUGGCAGACGGGUGAGUAACGCGUGGGAACGUGCCCUUCAGUUCGGAAUAACCCAGGGAAACUUGGGCUAAUACCGGAUACGUGCGAGAGCAGAAAGAUUUAUCGCUGAAGGAUCGGCCCGCGUCUGAUUAGCUAGUUGGUGAGGUAAUGGCUCACCAAGGCGACGAUCAGUAGCUGGUCUGAGAGGAUGAUCAGCCACAUUGGGACUGAGACACGGCCCAAACUCCUACGGGAGGCAGCAGUGGGGAAUAUUGGACAAUGGGCGCAAGCCUGAUCCAGCCAUGCCGCGUGAGUGAUGAAGGCCUUAGGGUUGUAAAGCUCUUUCGGCGGGGACGAUAAUGACGGUACCCGCAGAAGAAGCCCCGGCUAACUUCGUGCCAGCAGCCGCGGUAAUGCGAAGGGGGCUAGCGUUGUUCGGAAUCACUGGGCGUAAAGGGCGCGUAGGCGGCUUGAUAAGUCGGGGGUGAAAGCCUGUGGCUCAACCACAGAAUUGCCUUCGAUACUGUCUGGCUUGAGACCGGAAGAGGUAAGUGGAACUGCGAGUGUAGAGGUGAAAUUCGUAGAUAUUCGCAAGAACACCAGUGGCGAAGGCGGCUUACUGGUCCGGUUCUGACGCUGAGGCGCGAAAGCGUGGGGAGCAAACAGGAUUAGAUAUGCUGGUAGUCCACGCCGUAAACGAUGAAUGCCAGCCGUUGGCGAGCUUGCUCGUCAGUGGCGCAGCUAACGCUUUAAGCAUUCCGCCUGGGGAGUACGGUCGCAAGAUUAAAACUUAAAGGAAUUGACGGGGGCCCGCACAAGCGGUGGAGCAUGUGGUUUAAUUCGAAGCAACGCGCAAAACCUUACCAGCCUUUGACAUGUCCGGUUUGGAUC
rnacentral:rRNA from 1 species